rnacentral:lncRNA from 1 species
CGGGGAUGAAACACUUGUAGAUUCCGGCAUCACGACACGCAAUGACGAGGAACGCCCACCCAUGAUGCUACGGAAUGUAUUCCAUCCAACUUUCUUAGUCGAUAAGUACCAAGGUCAUGAUUCUGUUGGAGUUUAACAAUUUCGUUCGCGAGUAAAGAGUGAGGAUAGCACCUGGAACACUAGGACUAUUAAUGUCGGUAGGAGCCUGAUGGUGGUGGUGUUUGAAGGAGCGUUUCGUUCAUGGCUUCUGCGCCUUGGCUCACGGGAAGGACCGCGAGGGAUGCCAUGAGGACGAGGAAAGGAUGCGAGAGUGGUGCUGCUGACGAGGAGAAACUGCAGUGGGAGGAAUGGUUCUGUUGAAGUCGACGAGGAGUAGACGGUGAGCGAUUCCAACGAGGACGAGGAGCGUAGACGGCGAGGAGGGAGCGCGAGGAAGCUGCACAGCCCCUCCACAACUGCGACGGCCCAUUGCGGACGACGGCCAGGCAGCCCCUCCACGGUUGCGAUGACAUCGCUAGGUGGGUCUAACAAUUUCCUUACCAUUUUUGACACCAAAUUUGGAACGUUACGCUACUCGUCCUCGUUGGAAUCGCUCACCAUCUGCAUAGGUAAUCCUCGUCGACUUCAAUAGAACCAUUCCUCCCACUGUAAUUUCUCCUCGUCAGCAGCACCACUCUUGCGUCCUUUCCUCCUACUCAUGGCAUCCCUCGCGGUCCUUCCGUGAGCCAAGGCGCAGAAGCCAUGAACGAAGACACUCCUUCAAGCGUCGCCAUCAGGCUCCUACCGACAUUAACAGUCCUGGUGUUCCAGGAGCUAUCCUCACUCUUGCGUGGGGUUCCUCGCCAUUGCGUGUGUGUCAUCCCCGAUGCAGAUCAGAACCGCAAGGAGCUGGUGUUGAAUAUUUCUUUACUCCCUGCCAUCGACGUACAUCACAAGAUUAUUCCCAAACAUCACUGUGCUGAAUUUUUAGAUUCUCUCAUCUUCGUUCAGUUCAUAAACCACGGCCAAUGUGUCAACUCCAACGAGGGUCUCACCUCAACUCUUGUGAUCAGACACGGA